ACUCCUACGGGAGGCAGCAGUGGGGAAUAUUGCACAAUGGGCGCAAGCCUGAUGCAGCCAUGCCGCGUGUAUGAAGAAGGCCUUCGGGUUGUAAAAGUACUUUCAGUCAGAUGAGGAAGGUGGGUAUGUUAAUAGCAUACUCAUUUGACGUUAGCUGCAGAAGAAGCAACCGGCUAACUCCGUGCCAGCAGCCGCGGUAAUACGGAGGGUGCGAGC
rnacentral:rRNA from 1 species